rnacentral:SRP_RNA from 1 species
GCUUAGGUUGGUUGCAACAAACGACUCCUAACCCAGUCAGAUCCGGAAGGAAGCAGCUGUAUGGAGCCCUCUUUGGGUGCUUUUCAACCUAAGCUCU